GAUGAACGCUGGCGGCGUGCCUAAUACAUGCAAGUCGAGCGAACAGACGAGGAGCUUGCUCCUCUGACGUUAGCGGCGGACGUGUGAGUAACACAUGUAUAACCUACCUAUAAGGCUGGUAUAUCUUCGGGACACCGGAUCUAAUACCGUAUAAUAUAUUGAACCGCAUGGUUCAAUAGUAAAAUACGGUUUUGCUGUUACUUGUAGAUCGAUCGUCGCCUCAUUAGCUAGUUGGUAUGGUAACGGCUUACCAAGGCAACGAUGCGUAGCCGACCGAAGAGGGUGAUCGGCAACACUGGAACGGAGCAACGGUCAAGACUCCUCCGGGAGGCAGCAGUAGGGAAUCUUCCGAAAUGGGCGAAAGCCUGACGGAGAAACGCCGCGUGAGUGAUGAAGUUCUUCGAAUCGUAAACCUCGGUUAAUAGGGAAGAACAAAUGUGUAAGUAACUAUGCACGUCUUGACGGUACCUAAUCAGAAAGCCACGGCUAACUACGUG
rnacentral:rRNA from 1 species